CACGCAGGCGGUCUGUUAAGUCAGAUGUGAAAUCCCCGGGCUUAACCUGGGAACUGCAUUUGAAACUGGCAGGCUUGAGUCUCGUAGAGGGGGGUAGAAUUCCAGGUGUAGCGGUGAAAUGCGUAGAGAUCUGGAGGAAUACCGGUGGCGAAGGCGGCCCCCUGGACGAAGACUGACGCUCAGGUGCGAAAGCGUGGGGAGCAAACAGGAUUAGAUACCCUGGUAGUCCACGCCGUAAACGAUGUCGACUUGGAGGUUGUUCCCUUGAGGAGUGGCUUCCGGAGCUAACGCGUUAAGUCGACCGCCUGGGGAGUACGGCCGCAAGGUUAAAACUCAAG
rnacentral:rRNA from 1 species